rnacentral:rRNA from 1 species
AACGAACGCUGGCGGCACGCCUAACACAUGCAAGUCGAACGAGAAGCACCUUCGGGUGUGGAAAGUGGCGGACGGGUGAGUAACACGUGGGAACAUGCCUUUUGGUACGGAACAACCAUUGGAAACGAUGGCUAAUACCGUAUAAGCCCUUAGGGGGAAAGAUUUAUCGCCGAAAGAUUGGCCCGCGCUAGAUUAGUUAGUUGGUGAGGUAAAAGCUCACCAAGGCGACGAUCUAUAGCUGGUUUGAGAGGAUGAUCAGCCACACUGGGACUGAGACACGGCCCAGACUCCUACGGGAGGCAGCAGUGGGGAAUAUUGGACAAUGGGGGCAACCCUGAUCCAGCGAUGCCGCGUGAGUGAUGAAGGCCUUAGGGUUGUAAAACUCUUUCAGGGGUGAAGAUAAUGACGGUAACCCCAGAAGAAGCUCCGGCUAACUCCGUGCCAGCAGCCGCGGUAAUACGGAGGGAGCUAGCGUUGUUCGGAAUUACUGGGCGUAAAGCGCGCGUAGGCGGCUUGGCAA